GUGAACCACUAUGUCUGGCUUGCUUUUAUCUACAGACAGGAGCUAAUGCUGCCCAGAUAACGCACCGCUCAAACUAGAUGACACACCCGUGCUUGCUUGGCUGGUUUCUGCCAAGUUGACACAAGCUACGGUCAUCCUUCAGCUGAGACCUAGUGGGAUGGAAACUCCCUGGCAUCUAUGAGAAAAUGCCAUAAGAUUGACUCGUGGGCCAGGCUGCAGGGCAUUUUCUUGACAGCCGAUUGAUAUGGAAGCGUUUCUCUCUCUGGGGGUGGAAGAGAGCAAACUGGGCAAGCCAGGAAGAGCAGGCCAUGCUCCGCUUCAGUUCCAGACCAGGUUCUGGCCCUGACUUCCUUUGACCAUAGAAAUGCGAUGUCACAGUCCAAGCAAGAUGCCCAAAGGAAAGAAGGCCCAGGGGAAGAAAGUGGUCCCGGCCCCUGCCAUGGUCAAGAAACAGGAGGCCAAAAAGGCGGUCAGUUCUUUGAGAAAAGGCCCAAGAACUUCGGCAUUGGGUAGGACACCCAGCCCAAAAGAGAUCUCACAUGUUUGUUCAAAUGGCCCCCCUACAUCAGGCUGCAGCAGCAAAGAUCCAUCCUCUAUAAGCGACUCAUACAGUACCUCCUGCUAUCAGUCAGUUUCCCCAGGCCCUGGAGAGGCAAACAGCGACUCAGUUGCUUAAGCUUGUCCACAAGUACAGGCCAGAGACAAAGCAGGAGAAGAAGCUGGCCCGCACUGAGAAGAAAGCUGCUGGCAAAGGGGACGUCCCAACUAAGAGAUCACCUGUCCUUAGGUCAAAACAGUCACCACCUUGGUGGAGAAGAAGAAGGCUCAACUGGUGGUGAUUGCCGGUGAUGUAGACCCCAUUGAGCUGGUGGUUUUCCUGCCUGCCCUGUGUCGAAGGAUGGGAGUGCCCUACUGCAUCAUCAAGGGAAAGGCCAGACUGGACGCCUGGUCCACAGGAAGACGUGCACCACUGUUGCCUUCACACAGCUCAACUCGGAAGACAAGGGUGCUCUGGAUAGGCUGGUGGAAGCUAUUAGGACCAAUUAUAAUGACAGAUAUGGCGAGAUCUGCCGCCACUGGGGAGGCAACGUCCUGGGUCCUAAGUCUGUGGCUCGCAUUGCCAAGCUGGAAAAGGCGAAGGCUAGAGAACUCGCCAUUAAACUGGGUUAAAUGUACACUUAAGUUUUCUGUACAUAAAUAUAAUUACAAAAUUAAAAAAAUAAUUGCAGCUCUUGCAGAUAUGGGAUCAAUAUUAAAGUUUUUGUAAUUACAA
ensembl:lncRNA